GGAUUCUGGAGCCAGGAAGCCAGAGAGUAAGCAGAGAAUGGGUGUUUUGGUUUUAACCCCAUACAUGCUGGGUUUAAUGUAGGGAAACUGAUAUCAGUGUUGGUAUCACUACCACCUCUGAAUUUUGUGGUCUUAAUGAUUUCAGAUGGUUAGUCUCAUCUUUCAAAGUUGAAGGUGGACCUCAUCCAAUCAGUUGAGGCCUUCAUCAAAAAAAAGACUGACUCCCUCAAAGAAGAUGGAAUUCUACCAGCAGUUGGCCUUUGGACUCAAACUGCUACAUUGACUUUUCCCUGGAUCUCCAGCCUGCUGACCUACCCUGAAGAUUUUGGACUUGCCAGUCUCCAUGAUUGCUUGAGCCAAUUGUCUCUCCAGUGGUCUCUACUAACGAAGUUCAAGAUCCAGCCAGCUUGCAAAGAAAAAUACUUAAAGGGCCCGGCACAGUCGUUACCCAGCAAGUAAAACGGAGCUGAGAGGCAAUAACCAGCACAUCGUACAUGUUCUUUUCUAAGCUAGAAUAUAUAGACUAGUGUUUAUGGUUCUAUGUGAUAAUUAACAGGUUCUAAUAAUAGCAUUCCAG
rnacentral:lncRNA from 1 species